UGUUAGAGCCAUUGAAUUUGCAUUACGAAGGAUCUGCUGCCUUCUGAAGGUCCCAGCCUAGAGCAAGAGAUGCAGAGCUGGGGGUCCUGAAUUCUUCUUUGGAAUCUGCUAUGAAAACAUGAUGCCUGUGCUGUGGGUGUACUUUUAUCACUUGGCCUCUGUUUCCCACCCAUUCUCUAUUUGGUGCAUAAUUAGAUGUUCCAUUGCCUCUGAGAAGUUGCUUCCUUUUCUAAGUUAGGAACCUGUGAAGAGGCAAAGGAUUGUGAGGAGCCCUUUCAGCAGGGGGAUGGCUGCUGGUCAUGUAGAGGAAGAAUCUUCCAGACUAGCCAACUCAGCCCACAGUGGGAGCGUUGGAACUGGGUGAACAUCAAGGUCUCCUUCCAACCCAUUCUAUGAUUCUUUGGUUCUAUGAUAUAAGAAGACCUUGAGAUAUUAUGU